GAAUCCCGUCUUUGACAUGGACUGCCAGUGCCUAAUAGGUGCGCUCUCGAAGAGUCGAGUUGUUUGGGAAUGCAGCUCAAAAUGGGUGGUAAAUGCCAUCUAAAGCUAAAUAUUGGCGAGAGACCGAUAGCGAACAAGUACCGUGAGGGAAAGAUGAAAAGAACUUUGGAAAGAGAGUUAAACAGUACGUGAAAUUGCUGAAAGGGAAACGCUUGAAGUCAGUCGCGUCGGGUCGGAAAUCAACCUCGCUUUUGCUGGGUGUACUUUCCGUCCGAUGGGCCAGCAUCGGUUUCGGUUGCUGGACAAAGUUCUUUGGGAAAGUGGCAUCCUCGGAUGUGUUAUAGCCCUUGGGACAUAUGCAGCGGUCGGGAUUGAGGAACUCAGCACGCCCGCGAGGGCUGGGGCUUUUGUCCACAUGAACGUGCUUAGGAUGCUGGCAUAAUGGCUUUAAUCGACCCGUCUUGAAACACGGACCAAGGAGUCUAACAUGCCUGCGAGUGUUUGGGUGAAAAACCCAUGCGCGCAAUGAAAGUGAAGGUUGAGAUCCCUGUCGUGGGGAGCAUCGACGCCCAGACCAGACCUUCUGUGACGGAUCUGCGGUAGAGCACGCAUGUUGGGACCCGAAAGAUGGUGAACUAUGCCUGAAUAGGGUGAAGCCAGAGGAAACUCUGGUGGAGGCUCGUAGCGAUUCUGACGUGCAAAUCGAUCGUCAAAUUUGGGUAUAGGGGCGAAAGACUAAUCGAACCAUCUAGUAGCUGGUUCCUGCC
rnacentral:rRNA from 1 species